ACGACGAUUCAGUUAAUAUCUGAUCGGUAUAUCAGAGUUGUUAUUCGAUAUUUAUUCAGAUCUCCAUCGAUCUACUACUAUUACUGACAUAUGGUCAAUCUGUCUUCUCACGAUCAUAUAAGUUUAGAAUAUGCAGAAUCUACACAUCUAACUGUUAUAAGUAGUUAUUAACUAUGUGUCACAGUCAUUAGUAGGCAUAAACAAUCCAUAACUUCAUAAUUAUGGUCCGAUAAUUUAGUGCCAUAAAAAGCGAAACCACGUGUUCGACGGUUACAUCUGAAUCAUCUAUAAAAGGGAGGUAAUUGAACAGUAUUGGUAAGAUAAUUUUAGGUUGAGAUUCUGUCAUUUCAAAUAUUCUUAUCUGCUGUUUACCACUCUCCGCCGACUUAAGCAUCGGAGGGUUUCCGCUGACUUAAGCAUCAGAGGAUCUCCGUCGAAUACAAUUUCGGUCCGUGA
rnacentral:lncRNA from 1 species